CGGACGGGGUGAGUAAUGUCUGGGAAACUGCCCGAUGGAGGGGGAUAACUACUGGAAACGGUAGCUAAUACCGCAUAACGUCGCAAGACCAAAGAGGGGACCUUAGGGCCUCUUGCCAUCGGAUGUGCCCAGAUGGGAUUAGCUAGUAGGUGGGGUAAUGGCUCACCUAGACGACGAUCCCUAGCUGGUCUGAGAGGAUGACCAGCCACACUGGAACUGAGACACGGUCCAG
rnacentral:rRNA from 1 species